GCUCUUUCUAUAUAAGGAUCUUACAUUCUCUCUCUCUCUCUCUCAAAGUACUCGUGCCCAUCUGCUCUUGGCUUCUCUUCUGUGUUUUCAGCAAGCAACACUUCAGAAUGAAGCUGUUGGCUCUUCUUCUUGUCCUGUUGAUGGUGAACUUUAGCAUGGCUGUGCAGAGGAAAGCUCUAACAGAUGAAGUGCAGAGUCAGGAAGGACGACAACUUGUUAACAAUGAAAUUGAUGAUGAACAGGAUGCAGAUAAGAACAACGUAGCUGGAUACUCCGGAGGUGGUAUCAAUAACCAUCACAGUAUACCUAGACAAUACUUUGACAAUUAUGGCAGCAGCCCCAAAGGAGAAGAUGGCAAUAGCUCUAGAAACAAAUAAUGGAUAAUACUGAUUGAUGAUCAGUAGUUCUUGCUCUUUCUAAUGGGUGUAGCACAUAAACAACAUAAGUUGGGGCCGGAAGUGAUAUAUAUAUAUAUAUGUGUAGCAUAUGAUACAUGAUGUAAGGGCUACUGCAAGCGAAUUAUCAAUAUAACAAUACAUAUUUGUAGCAGAAAA